UACGAAGGGGGCUAGCGUUGCUCGGAAUCACUGGGCGUAAAGGGUGCGUAGGCGGGUCUUUUAAGUCAGGGGUGAAAUCCUGGAGCUCAACUCCAGAACUGCCUUUGAUACUGAGGAUCUUGAGCUCGGGAGAGGUGAGUGGAACUGCGAGUGUAGAGGUGAAAUUCGUAGAUAUUCGCAAGAACACCAGUGGCGAAGGCGGCUCACUGGCCCGGUACUGACGCUGAGGUGCGAAAGCGUGGGGAGCAAACAGG
rnacentral:rRNA from 1 species